rnacentral:rRNA from 1 species
UACGUAGGGGGCUAGCGUUGUCCGGAAUCAUUGGGCGUAAAGCGCGUGUAGGCGGUUCGGUAAGUCCGCUGUGAAAGUCGGGGGCUCAACCCUCGGAUGCCGGUGGAUACUGUCGAGCUUGAGUACGGAAGAGGCGAGUGGAAUUCCUGGUGUAGCGGUGAAAUGCGCAGAUAUCGGGAGGAACACCAAUGGCGAAGGCAGCUCGCUGGGACGGUACUGACGCUGAGGCGCGAAAGCGUGGGGAGCAAACAGG